AUCAAUGUUCGAUAGGAAAAAUGUGGAGCAUGUAAAGACAUCAGAUCAUUCAAUUAACAAUUUAGUGCAUAAAAUGUCACAAAAGAAUGAACAAUGACAUCACAACUUCCCAGAAUUCAACAUGACGUCUUCAAACAUGCUGCGGUAGCUGAACAGAUGGAACUUUAACGAUAAUUAGAUUACACCGACACAAACAGAACAUCCUGACAUUGAACUUGAACUGUGAAUGUUUUAUCCAGUGGAUUUUUUGCAUAAAUAUAUUUGGCUCGUAAAAUACCCCCAAAUUAACAACCAACCUCUGCUGGUGAAAAACGUCACUUAUUUCCCUCAGUAUUUGAGGUAAAUGUUGUAUUAUACUGAAAUUAGGAAAUGUGGGAGUGAAUCGGAUUUGGUAAUAAAAUGUGAAAUACAGAGUGAGCUUGUCAUUACAAAAGUGACUUUGAUUACUUUCAAUUUUUAAAAGAAAUUGAGGUUGGAGGAUUAAAAAUUAAGAAAAAUCUUUUUUUUAUGAUUAUUGCAAUACAUACACUGGAUCUAGAAAGUCAACACACCCUUUGGAAAUAAAAAUUCU